AAUACCGAAUACACCCUGCUGGCUGCAUGGCCUGGUGGGGGAAAGCUUUUGCGGUGUGGGAUGGGCCCGCGGCCUAUCAGCUUGUUGGUGAGGUUACGGCUCACCAAGGCGACGACGGGUAGCCGGCCUGAGAGGGUGACCGGCCACACUGGGACUGAGAUACGGCCCAGACUCCUACGGGAGGCAGCAGUGGGGAAUAUUGCACAAUGGGCGCAAGCCUGAUGCAGCGACGCCGCGUGGGGGAUGACGGCCUUCGGGUUGUAAACCUCUUUCAGUAGGGACGAAGCGCAAGUGACGGUACCUACAGAAGAAGGACCGGCCAACUACGUGCCAGCCGCCGCGGUAAU
rnacentral:rRNA from 1 species